AAAUCGGUCCUUUUCAGGGCCACAAGAUUUAAUCGUCGAAACAGUCU
rfam:Cerapachys biroi unplaced genomic scaffold scaffold1307, whole genome shotgun sequence.